GGAGAAGUGGCAGAGUGUUUAUGCGACUGACUUGAAAUCAGUUGAUGGGGGUUUGAUUCCUUCCUUCUCUU
rnacentral:tRNA from 1 species